UACAGAGGGUGCAAGCGUUAAUCGGAUUUACUGGGCGUAAAGGGCGCGUAGGUGGUGGUGUAAGUGAGAUGUGAAAUCCCCGGGCUUAACCUGGGACGUGCAUCUUAGACUGCAUCACUGGAGUGUAGUAGAGGGUAGUGGAAUUUCCGGUGUAGCGGUGAAAUGCGUAGAUAUCGUCAAGAACACCUAUAGCGAAGGCAGCUUACUAGGCUGUAACUGACGCUGAGGCACGAAAGUGUGGGGAUCAAACAGG
rnacentral:rRNA from 1 species